UUAGGUGAAAAUACAUGGCAUGCAUUCAAAUUACCAUAGGUGAAAUCCUCUUCAGAAGUCAGUGAUCUCAAACACCUGCCCGUGGCUGAUAUCAGUGUGUGUGUGUGUGUGUGUGUGUGUGUGUGUUUCCUGGGCCUUUGAGAGGAGAACUCUCAGUGACGCCGUACAGAGAGACAGAAUGAGGACGUCACAGGCAGUUUAAACGAAUAUGUCAUGGCUUCACACACCCAGAGGCAAUGAGCUCACCUGUUCCCAGUCACCUCCUCUCCGGCCACCACUUAAGAUUGUCUGGAGACUUCUUGUGCUGACAGAGAUUCUGAAGUAGAAUUGCCUCUCUGUCUGGAACCUGGACUUCAUUAUCAGAAACCCUUAGAUGAACUGUUGUUAUCCUUUGUGUUAACAAUAAACUUUUG